UAGUCGAAAACGGCCUUAACAGAAAGCGCAAUCUCGUUGAGUUUUUCGUAGGGGAAUGGAAUAAUUCAGGCGUUGGAAAUAAUCUACAGUCCUACAGUUCCUACUACAGUUCAUGGCAAAAAUUUUUUGAGAAAAAAAAGUUUUCAACCUUGUUCAAAUAACUGUUUCAACUUUAAAUUCAAGUAACUGUUUCAACCUUGUUUGAAAUUCAAAUAACUGUCACGAUUUAAAAUAACGUUUGAUAGACAUUCAACCUUCUUUAAAAUUUGAUUUUUUAUCAUAUGGUGCGUAAAAACUUCAAGCUAUUUUUAUUAUUGAACAUCAUCCUAAGGUCGUCUACUUAAAUUAUCUCGUCAAAGUAAUGAUGAAAACGAUGAUCGACUUUAAUCAUAACUUGAAACUUAUAAUGUUUUUAUGAAAGACAUCAUCAUUUACUGAUGAAAUAAAAUUAAUCGUCGAUGGACGAGAGUAGAAGAUUUCGAUUUAUGAUGGAAAAACUUCUUACGAAACUUCUUGUGAAAAUUAUUUUCUAAAUUAUUAUAUAAAAUCUGGAGGCAAGUUAUCGUGGUUAUAUAUUACAUAAGUUAUCGUUGUUAAAAUAUUUUAAGUGAUGAAGAAAAGAAUCUUUUAGUUCAAUGUUCAACAAA